rnacentral:rRNA from 1 species
AUUGAACGCUGGCGGUAUGCUUAACACAUGCAAGUCGAACGGUAACGACAGAGAGCUUGCUCUCUGGGCGACGAGUGGCGGACGGGUGAGUAAUAUAUAGGAACCUUCCUCAUAGUUUGGGAUAAACUACUCGAAAAGAGUGGCUAAAUACCGGAUGUGGACUACGGUUUAAAAGCAAGGGGAUCUUCGGAACCUUGCGCUACGAGAUGGGCCUAUACAAGAUUAGCUAGUUGUGAGGUAAAAUGACUCACCAAAAGGCGAACGAAUC